GGCGGCAUGCCUAAUACAUGCAAGUCGAGCGGAAUGACGAGAGCUUGCUCUCUGAUUUUAGCGGCGGACGGGUGAGUAACACGUGGGCAACCUGCCCUACAGAUGGGGAUAACUCCGGGAAACCGGGGCUAAUACCGAAUAAUCAGUUUGUCCGCAUGGACAAACUCUGAAAGACGGUUUCGGCUGUCACUGUAGGAUGGGCCCGCGGCGCAUUAGCUAGUUGGUGGGGUAAUGGCCUACCAAGGCAACGAUGCGUAGCCGACCUGAGAGGGUGAUCGGCCACACUGGGACUGAGACACGGCCCAGACUCCUACGGGAGGCAGCAGUAGGGAAUCUUCCACAAUGGACGAAAGUCUGAUGGAGCAAUGCCGCGUGAGCGAAGAAGGUUUUCGGAUCGUAAAGCUCUGUUGUAAGGGAAGAACACGUACGGGAGUAACUGCCCGUGCCAUGACGGUACCUUAUUAGAAAGCCACGGCUAACUACGUGCCAGCAGCCGCGGUAAUACGUAGGUGGCAAGCGUUGUCCGGAAUUAUUGGGCGUAAAGCGCGCGCAGGCGGUUCUUUAAGUCUGAUGUGAAAGCCCACGGCUCAACCGUGGAGGGUCAUUGGAAACUGGAGAACUUGAGUACAGAAGAGGAAAGCGGAAUUCCACGUGUAGCGGUGAAAUGCGUAGAGAUGUGGAGGAACACCAGUGGCGAAGGCGGC
rnacentral:rRNA from 1 species